GACAGAGGUGCCGAGCGUUAGGCGGAAUCACUGGGCUUAAAGCGUGUGUAGGCGGGUCGUUAAGUGUCUUGUGAAAUCCCACCGCUCAACGGUGGAACUGCUGGGCAUACUGGCGAUCUUGAGCCACCUAGGGGCAGACGGAACAAGCGGUGGAGCGGUGAAAUGCGUAGAUAUCGCUUGGAACGCCGACGGUGAAAACAGUCCGCUGGGGGUGUGCUGACGCUGAGACACGAAAGCCAGGGGAGCGAACGGG
rnacentral:rRNA from 1 species